GGCUCAGUGGUGGAUGGUCCAUACUUGCUUUCUGUGUGUUGGUCCAGUAGAACGCUGAAGCAGGAGGAGCCUGUUCGAAUCAGGCCUGAGCCA